CUUAACCACUGGACCACCAGAGAAGUCCCAUCAAUCUGCUUUUCUAGAUUAAAUCUAGAAAUGGUAGAAUUUGUGCAAAUAGAAAACAAAACACCAAGGAAGAGUGAGUGCAAGUGAAGGAACAUACACAAGUACAGAAGGAACUUGGAGAACCGUCAGAAGCAGCAGCCCAUGAAUUCACCUGAGAAGGGCCAAGUCCUCCUGCAAAUCAGCUGAGGAAUGAGAUGCCACUGGAUUUAGAUGAGGAGCUCCUCGGAGACAGAGACUCACUCCCUGCUUGUCCAGGACCAGUUUAUCAACACAAAAUUAAUUUUCUCUACACCUGUUCAUUUCAUGGGGGGACUAAGAAGAUAAUCUCUGUAGACUUCCAAAGGGAACUCUGCCUUCAUCAUUCCACAUGACCCUGAUGGCUGUGCCCUCCUUAGCCAGUGAGAGAACCCAUGACUCCUGGUAAUUUAAAAAUAAAUAGUUCUGCAAGUGAACCAAUAGAAAUAUUUCACUGUCAUUGAACAGAAAGCUAAAAGCCUAAUUACUGUAUGUAUUGAACGUUCUUCUGUGGUAGUAAUUUCUUCACUCUUUCAAUAGCUUUAUUUUCUUUAUUUAAUAUCCACAAUUUUUCCCUUUAUAUGGUGGCCUUUUUUUUUUUUUUCCUCCAUUUUGUGGAAGAAAGUGGUACUCUGUUAUACAAAUAUGCUCCCUAUUUCCUUUGAAACUGUGUUCAGUCAGUCCCCGCAGAAAGAAUAGGUAAUGAAAUUCUAUCUCUCAAGUGUAUGUAGACAUAUCAAUCACUUUAAGUGGAAACAAUCGUUCCUCUGCCAUUUAGAGCCAACAUCUUUGAACACAGAAGCAGUACUAUUGCUUUCUGUUACUAUUUUUAGUUUUUCCAUAGCAUGCUUUGGUUUACAUUCCAUCCACAUGCUGCCGAGGUCAAGAAAAGCAGAUUUCCUGAUAACAUUUGAUUUGAGCAAAGGGAGUGAUAAAAGGUGCGCUCUGUAAUCUGGGUUUGGAGCCGACUGAAGAUGUGGACCCCAGAGGAGGUGGUCCAGGAGCCCUGUGCCCCUGUCACCCCACAACCAUCCCCAGACCUCUGCACAGGCUUGGUCAGCAAGCGCAAAGAGUUGUAGCUCUUUAUUAUGCCUUGGACACCCAGCCCUACCUACUCUAACUUCUGCUUCACAAUCCAGCAUUUUUUUUCUCCCUCCUAUGUGAGCAAAAUUUGCACUGCCACCUUUUUCCUUAAGAAUCAUCAUACAUGUUAAGCUUUUGUCUUGGUCUCAGUAUUUUAGGAAGCUGACACCAGAAGACACAGAAGAUAAGGCUAUUCGACCUCUUUUAUUGCACCUCUUCGAUCCUUCGUGCCUGCUCUCCCCACCGUAGACUUUAAAACCCACGCGUGUUUGAAAUGCUGCUGGCUAAAAGCAUGGUGCUGAUGAACGGGAGUCAUAUCAUGUUAGCCCAAGGCCCUCUAGUUACUGUGAGGCGCUGCUGUCUCUACCCAAGGCACUGUUACUGUGAAGUGAAGAGUCUCUCG